rnacentral:misc_RNA from 1 species
GAAAUGCGAUAAGUAGUGUGAAUUGCAGAAUUCAGUGAAUCAUCGAAUCUCUGAACGCACAUUGCGCCCCUUGGUAUUCCAUGGGGCAUGCAUGUUCGAGCGUCAUUUGUACCCUCAAGCUCUGCUUGGUGUUGGGUGUUUGUCCCGUCUCCGCGCGUGGACUCGCCCCAAAGUGAUUGGCAGCCGGCGUACUGGUCCCGGAGCGCAGCACAUGUCGCGCAAACGAGUGCCUUGGUACGGCGGCGUCCAUAAGCCCCUCUCUCACGCUCUUGACCUCGGAUCAGGUAGGGAUACCCGCUGAACUUAAGC